rnacentral:rRNA from 1 species
CCUACGGGAGGCAGCAGUGAGGAAUAUUGGUCAAUGGGCGCAAGUCUGACCCAGCAAAGCCGCGUGAGGGAAGAAGGCUUUCGGGUUGUAAACUUCUUUUAAGUGGGAAGAGCAGAAGACGGUACCCCUUGCAUCAGCCACGGCUAACUACGUGCCAGCCGCCGCGGUAAUACGUAGGUGGCAAGCGUUGUCCGGAUUGACUGGGUGUAACGGGCGUGCAGCCGGAGAGACAAGUCAGAUGUGAAAUCCACGGGCUCAACCCGUGCACUGCAUUUGACACUGGUUCCCUUGAGUGUCGGAGAGGUAAUCGGAAUUCCUGGUGUAGCGGUGAAAUGCGUAGAUAUAAGGAAGAACACCAGUGGCGAAGGCGGAUUACUGGACGAUAACUGACGGUGAGGCGCGAAAGCGUGGGGAGCAAACAGGAUUAGAUACCCUUGUAGUC